rnacentral:rRNA from 1 species
CAAGGAAAAAAAUAUAACACAUAACCAACAAGAACUCUGCAGUUAAGCACGCUCAGUCUAGAGUAGCACUAGGAUGGGUGACCACCUGGGAAGUCCUAGUGUUUUACAUGC